rnacentral:rRNA from 1 species
GUAGGGAAUAUUGGACAAUGGGCGAAAGCCUGAUCCAGCCAUGCCGCGUGAUAGAUGAAGGCCCUCUGGGUUGUAAAUAUCUUUUAUCUGGGAAGAAACUCCUCUAUUCUUAGAGGCCUGACGGUACCAGAGGAAUAAGCACCGGCUAACUCCGUGCCAGCAGCCGCGGUAAUACGGAGGGUGCAAGCGUUAUCCGGAUUCACUGGGUUUAAAGGGUGCGUAGGCGGGUUGAUAAGUCAGUGGUGAAAGCUCCGAGCUUAACUUGGAAACUGCCAUUGAUACUGUCAGUCUUGAAUGUCGUAGAGGUAAGCGGAAUGUUGCAUGUAGCGGUGAAAUGCUUAGAUAUGUUACAGAACACCAAUUGCGAAGGCAGCUUACUAUGCGAUAAUUGACGCUGAGGCACGAAAGCGUGGGGAGCAAACAGGAUUAGAAACCCUUGUAGUCC